AUACCAGUUGCUGUAAGCAU
rnacentral:rRNA from 1 species